UACGUAGGGUGCGAGCGUUGUCCGGAAUUAUUGGGCGUAAAGGGCUCGUAGGCGGUUUGUCGCGUCGGGAGUGAAAACCCAGGGCUCAACCCUGGGCUGGCUUCCGAUACGGGCAGACUAGAGGUAUGCAGGGGAGAACGGAAUUCCUGGUGUAGCGGUGAAAUGCGCAGAUAUCAGGAGGAACACCGGUGGCGAAGGCGGGUCUCUGGGCCGAUACUGACGCUGAGGAGCGAAAGCGUGGGGAGCGAACAGG
rnacentral:rRNA from 1 species